rnacentral:rRNA from 1 species
AUACGGAGGGUGCGAGCGUUAUCCGGAAUUACUGGGUUUAAAGGGUGCGUAGGCGGCCUGGUAAGUCAGGGGUGAAAGUCCAGGGCUUAACCGUGGGAUUGCCUUUGAUACUGCUGGGCUUGAAUGAGGUUGAGGUGGGCGGAAUGUGGCAUGUAACGGUGAAAUGUGUAGAUAUGCCAUAGAACACCGAUUGCGAAGGCAGCUUACUGGACCUUUAUUGACGCUGAGGCACGAAAGCGUGGGGAGCGAACAGGAUUAGAAACCCUAGUAGUCC